rfam:Sus scrofa chromosome 6.
UCCCUGAUGGUCCAGUAGCUAGGAUUUGGCACUUUCAUUGCUGUAGCCUGGGUUCAGUCCCUGGUCUGGAAA